GCAGCAGUGGGGAACUAUUGCACAAUGGGCGAAAGCCUGAUGCAGCAACGCCGCGUGAGGGAUGACGGCGCUUCUGGGUUGUAAACCUCUAUUAGCAGGGAAGAAGCGAAAGUGACGGAACCUGCAGAAAAAGCGCCCGGCUAACUACGUGCCAG
rnacentral:rRNA from 1 species